GCCGCGGUGGUGGAAUUGGUAGACACGCUGGUCUUAGGAACCAGUGCCAAUAGGCGUGAAGGUUCGAGUCCUUUCCGCGGCAC
rnacentral:tRNA from 1 species